rnacentral:rRNA from 1 species
CGCUGGCGGCAGGCCUAACACAUGCAAGUCGAACGCCGUAGCAAUACGGAGUGGCAGACGGGUGAGUAACACGUGGGAACGUACCCUUCGGUUCGGAAUAACUCAGGGAAACUUGAGCUAAUACCGGAUACGUCCGUAAGGAGAAAGAUUUAUCGCCGAGGGAUCGGCCCGCGUCUGAUUAGCUUGUUGGUGAGGUAACGGCUCACCAAGGCGACGAUCAGUAGCUGGUCUGAGAGGANGAUCAGCCACAUUGGGACUGAGACACGGCCAAACUCCUACGGGAGGCAGCAGUGGGGAAUAUUGGACAAUGGGCGGCAAGCCUGAUCCAGCCAUGCCGCGUGAGUGAUGAAGGCCUUAGGGUUGUAAAG